GAUCGGGUAGCGCAGAGGUCGUCGCGCGCUGACUCCACAUCAGCGAGGACGCUGGUUCGAUUCCAGCCCCGGUCC
rnacentral:tRNA from 1 species